ensembl:lncRNA
UAAACACUCACAUACCAAUAAAACAAAGUUAUUGAGUGUGAAAAAAUACCACAAAGAUUUUUAACAUACUCGUGUUGAUUUUAUGGCUGAAACUGUUAAUUGAGGAGAAAUAUAUGAUUUAGUCAUUUGUAUUCACAAACUACCAAACUGUUGCUGUGCAACAGAGAAGAGCACUGGAAUAAAUUAUGAACUUACAUUUUUGCAGGGUUUUUUUCUUUUUCAGAUUUAUUUUUGCCUGUUCUUACAGUUUUCAGAAAACCUUUUUCAUAACUUUUCAUGUGCAUGCAUGUGUGUGUCUGCACACUCGUGAAUCAGGCAGAGUUUGAGUAAACCGCAAAUCAGUCAUGUUUUAAUCAGAGCCUCAAGCUGCUCACAGAUCCACCACACUCAGUGUCCCUCAGGAUCCACCUGAGGUAAUAACUGAUCAUCAGUCACUCAAAGCCCUGAUUCACUGGGACUGCCCACACACGUCAAAUCUCAUCGACUCCUUGAAAUAAAGUCUUCACCAGUGUGCAGAGCUUAUUUUUAAAGAUUUUCAUGGUGUUGUUUCAUUUCUCUCUUUUCACAGAGAUGUUAAAGAAGGAUCCUCAGCUUGUUUUCUUAACCCUUGGAUAGCCGUCAAAAUUUACACCCUUUCACGGUCGCCGGGACCCAAAAUGGUCCCCAUCCAAAAGGUGAUAUAGCAAUGGAUUUUAUGAAUUUUUUUUCAUUUUUUUUCACAUCAGAUCUUUUAAACAACUUCAGACCUAUCCACUGAUAUAAAGUUUUUCAUAAUUUUUUUUUCAUUUUUUAGGUUUUUAUGGCUUUAUUGUCAUAAAAACCCCUGUUUUUUGGGGGGUGAAAAACCAUAAUAUGCAAUAUUUUUAAAAAAUGAGUUGCAAAUGGAACUACUUGGCAUGAGGUUAUUAGAGCCUUGGAUAGGUAAAAAAUUCAUAACAGAAUUGAUUUGGAUACAUUAUUAUUUUUGGAGCAAUAAGAGUUUUUCAAAUUUACACCCUUUUAUGGUCCUCGGGACCCAAAAUGGUCCCCAUCCAAAAGGUGAUAUAGCAAUGAAUUUUAUGAAUUGUUUUUUCAUUUUUUUUCACAUCAGAUCUUUUAAACAACUUCAGACCUAACCACAGAUAUAAAGUUUUUCAUAAAUUUGUAAAUAUUUUUUAUGUUUUUAUAGCUUUAUUGUCAUAAAGACCCCUGUUUAUUUUUUAUUUAUUUAUUUUGGGGGUGGGGGGGGGGGGGGGGGGGGGGGAAACCCGUAAUAUAUAUUAUAAAUAUAUUCUCAAUCACAUUCACACCACUCUCUUAUAUCAGUUCCACUACAUCGAGACUAUUUUAUGGUGGUCAGCUGUUUUAUUGUCAUGUAUUUUGCAUAAUAAGAUAACCAUGUCCUGCAUUCAAAACCACUGAAAAUGUCUAUGGUGGUGCUGUACCUAAUAUUGUGCUCAUUGGAUCCGAAACAUAUUUUUCCUUUAUUUUGAAGCCUGAGGCUUAGAUCCAUUAGGUAUUCACGAGAAAAAAAUUAUCACAUGUCAGGAUUACAGUAUAUCGAAAAUAUGUGAUUAUAAUGG